rnacentral:rRNA from 1 species
GUGGGGAAUAUUGGACAAUGGGCGCAAGCCUGAUCUAGCCAUGCCGCGUGAGUGAUGAAGGCCUUCGGGUUGUAAAGCUCUUUAGCCGAUGAUUAUAAUGACUGUAGUCGGAAAAUAAGCCCCGGCUAACUUCGUGCCAGCAGCCGCGGUAAUACGAAGGGGGCGAGCGUUAUUCGGAAUCACUGGGCGUAAAGCGUGCGUAGGCGGCUUUGCAAGUUGGGAGUGAAAGCCCAGGGCUCAACCCUGGAAUUGCUCUCAAAACUGCAAGGCUCGAAUUCGGGAGAGGAUAGCGGAAUUGUCAGUGUAGCAGUGAAAUGCGUAGAUAUUGACAGGAACACCAGUGGCGUAAGCGGCUAUCUGGACCGAUAUUGACGCUGAGGCACGAAAGCGUGGGGAUCAAACAGGAUUAGAUACCCGGGUAGUCC